rnacentral:lncRNA from 1 species
GCAUAUGAGUCACAGACAGAACAUUGGCACCUUUGUUUAAGAAACUGAAUGUUAAUGUCACAUCUGCCUUUGGAGAUUACAAAUGAAAUGGCUACCUUUCUACUGGAACCCUGACCAGAAGUCUGCCAGUUAGUAAGCUGGCUUAAGAGAUCAAUCUAAAAUUUACAUAAGGCUUUUGAAAAAAAGAAAAAAGAACCCAAAGGCACAGAUUGACGUUAUAAGUCCUGAUUUUUGACUUGACUUCUCAUCACCUGGAAGUGAAUAAAGCAGUAGACUUCUCUAACAUUUUGUAACACAGCAUGAAAAAAUAUAGAGUACAAAAGAUAUAUAUAUAUAAUAUGAUAAA